ACCAGGUUGAUUCUGCCUGACGUAGACGCUAUACUCUAAGAUUAACCCAUGCAUGUUUAUUGAAUAUAAAGAAAAGACGAACAGCUCAGUAACUCUUAUUUAAUUUGAUGUAUUAGGAUUCUAACUAUGUUAAAUUAUAGGUAACAAUAAUACAAUAAGAAUAAGAUCUAUCAGUUAGUUGUUAAGGUAAUGGCUUAACAAGACUAUGACGGAUAACGGUAUUACUUUGUAAUAUUCCGGAGAAGGAGCCUGAGAGAUUGCUACUAAGUCUAAGGAUUGCAGCAGGGGCGAAACUUGACCUAUGAUAUUAUAUUGAGGCAGUUAUGAGUAGUAUUCUAUAAUUAUUGUAGUAUUGUAAGUACAUAUUACAAGAUAAAUCGGAGGGCAAAUCGAGUGCCAGCAGCCGCGG
rnacentral:rRNA from 1 species